UCCUCUGCAUCUCCCUCUCCUCUCUUUCUACUCUCCUGCCCUCUAGUGGACUACCUGCCCAUCAUUGCAGGGCUGGCUGCAGCUGCGGUGGUGAUCCUCUUGGUUGUCUCCUGUUUCACCUACUCCUCUUACUAUAAACACAGGCGCAUGGGCCACUACCAGCUGAAAGACAUGUUGCCACGACGACACAACAACAAACACGUGGUGCAACACAACGGAAUGGACCAGUCCGUUAUGUAGAGGAGGGGUUGGGGUCAGAGCAUGUGAGCAGCGGUUGGAAAUCCUGAUGAGUGGGCGUGGCUCUCCACGUCCUUUAUGUAGAGGUGGGGUUGGAAAUACUGAUGAGUGGGCGUGGCUCUCCACGUCCUUUAUGUAGAGGAGGGGUUGGAAAUCCUGAUGAGUGGGCGUGGCUCUCCACGUCCUUUAUGUAGAGGAGGGGGUUGGAAAUCCAGAUGAGUGGGCGUGGCUCUCCACUCCUUUCCUAUCGCUUCCUCACAGAAAAAAACAUGGCUCCAAAUCACUCCAUUCAUUUAUAUCACAAUUUAAAUCGCAGUUUAAUCUAUUUUUUGGACUACCUGGACCUACCAAUUGUUUUUAAGUAUUGAAACCAAACAAUAUGGAUGUGAAUGAAAGGUAUUUGAAUAAACAUGAAAUGAUGAACAUGA